AGACUGAGCACGCUCAGUUGCUGCUUCACCUGCACCGCCUCACACAGCUGACAGAAACACAGAGAAACAGCUCAAGAGAGACUGAGCACGCUCAGUUGCUGCUUCACCUGUACUGCCUCACACAGCUGACACACACACAGAGUCUUUCUUAUCUCAUCAGCACAGUUUGAUUUAAAAUCAGCUUCUUCAUCCCUCUGAAGAGGACAUCUCAACACUUCAGGAGGACCAGGGGACCUGAAGAUGGGGGGUACGGAGUCAACACUAAGAACCCAGAGCAGAGACCCCCCUCCUCACCUGUCUGGAUCAAAGGACAAACAUACAUUCAGAAAGAUGAAGAAGAGAAGAGAUGAAGACAGAACAGCAGGAUAUGUUGCAGGAGGAGUAGGAGCAGCAGUAGGAGACUCCUGGUCCUUGCAGCUCUGGUCACUGGGAGGGUCAGUCUAGCAGCAGCAGCAGUGUUGGCAGUAGCAGGAGGAGCUGCAGCAGGAGCACUAGUAGGAAGAAGAUGAGCUGUGGUUGUAAAUAUAAUAAAAACAAUGAAAGAGAAGAGCUGGGAAAGACUUCAUGGAGACCAUAGAACGGCUGAAGGAGGACCUGGAAGGAAUGAGGAUGACGUGUGAGACUUUGGAGCAAAGAUCAGCUGAU